CUGUGCAAUCUCAGCGCAGUCCCUGAGGGAGGCUGGAGCCCAGCCCUUGGGUAAAACCAAACCAGUGGUUUUAUCUUGAAUGGAGAGAACAGGUGGAAGUGCUGUCAGCCAGCGUGGGCAGCAGGAAUGGCAGGAAUGCUGCCCACAGGAGCCUGGGGACCUGUGGGAAGAGAAAAUGAAAGGAAUCUGGUUAUCCAAGACAUUUCCCCACUCGGUUUCCCUGAAGUCCUGUGCCCAGCAGUGACUGCAGCAGGCAAAGCAGCAAAAACCCAAUUACACCUAAAAUAUACACUGAAUCUGCUUAUCCAAGAAAUUUCCCCACUCGAAUUUCCUGAAGUCCUGGACCCAGACACCUGCAGAAACCCAAAAGGACAGAUGAGGGCUCCAAGGGCCAGAAACAGCAGGAGAGAACCCCUGCCUUCCCAUUUUCCAUGUUUUCCAUGUUUUUAUGGGCAGCAGCCAGCUGCAGAUGUUGGGGACAAGAGGAGGGACCUGGGGAAGGAGCAGAGCUGAUUCCAGAGCUGAUCCAAGGGGCUCUGCCCUGUCCCACCCUGCUCCCUGGCAGGGCAUCCCACGGACGUGGAGCCCUCCCAGGUCUGGCCAUGGAUGCACACCCAAAGCGGCUCCUUUGGCCCAGGGAUCACAGGGCCUCCAAUUCCUGCAUCACAGGGCUCUGCUUCUCCUCUGCCUGUGGAACCCCUCUCCUCAGGAGCGAGUUCAGGCCUCCUGCGCUGGAUUUCAACAGAGCUGCAGUCGUGCAGUUAGGAAAUGGUGAGCCCUGCAAUGAGGCACCUUUAAUUGAAUCCUGCCACUUGCUCAAUGACAGCAGCCCUUCGGGCAGCCCUGAGCAGCAGGGAAACCAGCCCUGCCCCAGCUCUGCAGGCUGCCAUUGGCUGCAAACCUGCCCGGCUCGAUGGGCUGCACUCGGAGGGGAUUUACAGCCCGUAAAUAGCAGGGCUGGAGCGCUCGGGAAUGGAUUUCCACCCUUGGAGCUCUGCAUGGAGCCUCUGCCCAGGAACCCAGCACGAGGAAAAGCUGGAGAAGACAUUGCCUGUGCUGCAGAUUCCACUGGAGCUUUCCAGAGCAUGGCUUGUGUGAGUAGGUGACUUGGGCAGCAGGAGGAGCAUCUCUGGGGCAGCUGGAAUAUCUUUGGGGCAGCUGGAACAUUUUUGGGCAGCAGGAGGAGCAUCUCUGGGGCAGCU
rnacentral:lncRNA from 1 species